AAUCACAUCUCGUCUCCUUCCAUGAUUUUUUUUUUUAUAAUCGAGAGAUGUACUGUAUAUGGUUAAGUAAAGGCUGCAGUCUCUAACAGACCUCUUCCGAGGGAGCUUGCGCCUCCUGCUGGAUACACGUACAGCAGUCCAUUGCAAUCAUAGUCCCAGUAAACAAAUCCAGAAAUGCAAACACAGAGCAAGAAGAUUUCAAAUUUCAAAAGGCACAAGCACAGCAAAAACAGAACUAACUCAUCCGCUCCAUUCAUGGUGAGUCACCUGGAACUGUGGAAGACCCUCCAGAUUUAUAGGGUGCAUGUCCUGGCAGUGAUUGGUAGGUAGCCCUGCCUCUUGGGGGGACCACCCACAACACACAUGGAACAUAAUAAAGGCAGCUGAUAGGCACAGACAAAACCAAAAUUAAAGAAAGAGGCGCGUUAUCGAUAUGAACAAAAGAGGUGUAAGACGUGAAUUUGAACCCCAGCCAGAGGAGGAACUGCAUUAUUUGUUGUUAUUUUUAAAAUCUUUUUUAUUCAAUCAAAAUAACAGGAGAAACUGUAUAAUAAUAAACAGUCAUAAGAGAGUAAGAACCCAACCCACCCUGUGCCACCCUAAGCCAAGGGUUAAAUAUUUUGGGAUUGGCCAGUCACCAGAGCAGAAGAAGAUAAAAGGAUCAGAAGGAGACGGCAGAAGCCAAAGGAAAACGAGCCUCGGAGAUCAGAAAGCAGAGCAAGGGGGCCGCAGCAAAGCGGGAGUUAAAGCUCGCAUUUCAGUUGAGCUGCUGGAGGUGCAGUCAGCUCCUCGGAGAUGCCCAGCGAGGGGAACUGACUCCGCCCCUUCCAGGCAGGUCCUAUAAAACUGAUGUCUGGAAGCAGGCGUCUCAUUUUGACCCAAGCCAAACUGGAACACUGAGGUCCUCAAAGACUGACCCGCUCCACCAAGCAGUAAUUUCAAUAGAAGAUAAAGGGUGGAACCAUAGGAGGCAGGGCCACCCCGAUGACACCACUCCUGAGCCUUUCCUCUGACUAUUUAAAGCCAGAAAAGAAGAAGCUCAGGUUGCGGCUCAUUGUUUUUGUGGAGUUCUUGUGUUGGUCCACAAGAAGCCUACUCUACAUUGAAUGUUUUUCUUUUUGAUUCAUAUACAGUACAUUCUUAGAACUGCUAAAAUUCAGGUUUGGAAGAUGCAGAAACAUCCACACUAAUACCGGACAAUAAAAAAUCACCAAUGAAUGGCAGGUCUUUGAGGAAGAAAACUGAGGUACCUGAAGGACAACCCACACAAAGGCACAGGGAGAGCUAGCAAACUCAAGAUGGACAGCUACUGGACACAGGAGUCAUACCCAGAAUGCUGGAUCCAUGAAGCAGCAGCAUUGCCAGCAACCCUGAUGUUUAAUUACAGUGCCUUCAGAAAGUUAUCAGACCCUUUUAGUUUUUAGACAUUUUGUUAGGUUGCAGCCUUGUCCUAAAAUCAUGUAAAUUCACUUUUCCCUCAUCAAACAACACUCAAUACCUCA